rnacentral:snRNA from 1 species
AUUGUUUUUCGACCUUUUGGCUAGAGAUGAAGUGUAGUAUGUGUUCUUAGUUCUUACGAGUUUGGUAUCUAGUAUAUGGCCUAUGUGAAAACAACAUGUUAAGUGUGUUUUUUUGGGAAGAGGGAAAUGGAGUAGUAACUUGCAUUUUUCGUUUCACGUGUCGAUUUGGCAUUGCGGUGCUUCCAGGAACGGCGCGCCCCUU